CGGCGUUAGUUAGCAUUAUACAGCGAAACUGCGAAUGGCUCAUUAUAUAAGUUAUCGUUUAUUUGAUAGUACCUUACUACUUGGAUAACCGUGGUAAUUCUAGAGCUAAUACAUGCUAAAAAUCCCGACUUCGGAAGGGAUGUAUUUAUUAGAUUAAAAACCAAUGCCCUUCGGGGCUCACUGGUGAUUCAUAAUAACUUCUCGAAUCGCAUGGCCUUGCGCCGGCGAUGGUUCAUUCAAAUUUCUUCCCUAUCAACUUUCGAUGCUAGAGUAGUGUUCUAGCAUGGUUACAACGGGUAACGGAGGGUUAGGGCUCGACCCCGGAGAAGGAGCCUGAGAAACGGCUACUACAUCCAAGGAAGGCAGCAGGCGCGCAAAUUACCCAAUCCCGACACGGGGAGGUAGUGACGAUAAAUACUGAUACAGGGCUCUUUUGGGUCUUGUAAUUGGAAUGAGUACAAUUUAAAUCCCUUAACGAGGAACAAUUGGAGGGCAAGUCUGGUGCCAGCAGCCGCGGUAAUUCCAGCUCCAAUAGCGUAUAUUAAAGUUGUUGUGGUUAAAAAGCUCGUAGUAGAACCUUGGGCCUGGCUGACCGGUCCGCCUCACCGCGUGUACUGGUCCGGCCGGGCUCCCACCAUAGUCUAACCGCAUGCCCUUCACUGGGUGUGUUGGCGAAACUAUAUUUUUACUUUGAAAAAAUUAGAGUGCUCCAGGCAGGCCUAUGCUCGAAUACAUUAGCAUGGAAUAAUAGAAUAGGACGUGUGGUUCUAUUUUGUUGGUUUCUAGGACCGCCGUAAUGAUUAAUAGGGACAGUCGGGGGCAUCAGUAUUCAAUUGUCAGAGGUGAAAUUCUUGGAUUUAUUGAAGACUAACUACUGCGAAAGCAUUUGCCAAGGAUGUUUUCAUUUAUCAGGAACGAAAGUAAGGGGAUCGAAGACGAUCAGAUACCGUCGUAGUCUUAACCAUAAACUAUGCCGACUAGGGAUCGGACGAUGUAAUUUUUUGACUCGUUCGGACCUUACGAGAAUCAAAGGGUUGGGGCUCCAGGGGGAGUAGGUCCCAAGG
rnacentral:rRNA from 1 species